rnacentral:rRNA from 1 species
AUUGAACGCUGGCGGCAUGCCUAAUACAUGCAAGUCGAGCGAGCGGCGGACGGGCGAGUAAUGUCUGAGCAACUGCCUGACGUAGGGGGAUGACUACUGUAAACGGUAGAUAACACUGCUUACCACCAGAUGGGCCCAGAGGGGAUUAGCUAGUAGGUGGGGUAAUGGUUCACCAAGGCGUCGAUCCCUACCUGGUCAUAGAGGGUGACCGGCCACACUGGGACGGAGACACGGUCCAGACUCCUACGGGAGGCAGCAGUGGGGAAUAUUGCGCAAUGGGCGAAAGCCUGAUGGAGCCAUGCCGCGUGAGUGAAGAAGGUCUUCGGGUUGUAAAGUACUUUCAGCAGGGAGGCGUUACCCAACGAAGAAGCACCGGCUAACGCCGUGCCAGCAGCCGCGGUAAUUC